CGGACCGGCGCACGGGUGCGUAACGCGUAUGCAACCUACCAUCAACAGGGGGAUAACACUGAGAAAUUGGUACUAAUACCCCAUAAUAUCUCAUGCGGCACCGCAUGGGGUUGAAAACUCCGGUGGUUGAUGAUGGGCAUGCGUUGUAUUAGCUGGUUGGUGAGGUAACGGCUCACCGAGGCGACGAUACAUAGGGGGACUGAGAGGUUAACCCCCCACAUUGGUACUGAGACACGGACCAAACUCCUACGGGAGGCAGCAG
rnacentral:rRNA from 1 species